rnacentral:rRNA from 1 species
UACAGGGGGGGCAAGCGUUGUUCGGAAUUACUGGGCGUAAAGGGCUCGUAGGUGGCCAACUAAGUCGGACGUGAAAUCCCUCAGCUUAACUGGGGAACUGCGUCCGAUACUGGAUGGCUUGAGUUUGGGAGAGGGAUGCGGAAUUCCAGGUGUAGCGGUGAAAUGCGUAGAUAUCUGGAGGAACACCGGUGGCGAAGGCGGCAUCCUGGACCAACACUGACGCUGAGGAGCGAAAGCCAGGGAGCAAACGGG